GGGCGGGGCUAUUGGACCUCACCACCGGACUCCAGUGGCUGCGGGAGCGUUUGUCUUUUCUCCCAUCGCCGCGGACGAGAUUUGUGGCGCCAGAAACACCCUGCGGAAGGAGCCGGGGAUACCGACUCGUGAUAGAAAAGAGGAAACGGAGGCCACGGGCGGGUCCUACGGUAGAUGCAAGAGCCAUGGGGACAGGGACAGACGUUUCAGCUGACCUGGUGCCACUCACUGCACACCACCUUAAGCCUAAGAAGCUGCAGAGAAGAUGGGAGAACGGGGGUGAGCUCAAAGCUUUGCCCUUUGCUGCUCGGUUCACAUGUAAUGGCACUGUUGCUGCUGCUCAUCAUCAAAGCUAAAAUACAGAAUCAUUUCUUGAAGCAACGUCAACUGGAAUAUCCCAUUACUGCUGACUGGUCAUAAAAUCCUUGUCUCAAUGAGGAAUCUUUAUCAUGAGCACCAAGAACAGUGUGGAUACUGGGCUGAAUCAGCUUUGCCCCCUUCACCCACAUCCUCUAACCCUCCUAAGCCAUCAAGUCCUGUCAUUUCUUCAAAAGCCUUCUCGAGUUCUCCCCAACAUCUCAUUUCCUGAGGGCUCCAGCAUUCGCAGCUUACAGUUGGAUUCCUCCACAAAUCACCUCAACUCAAGCCUCUCCUUUUCAGGCUCUUCCACUGCCCUCCAGUCAAUCCUUAAAUACUGCAGUUCCUUGGGGCUCAGUCCUAGGCCUCCCUCCUCCCUCACUCCAUACCUAAGUAAUGUCCUUUGUAACUAUUGUUUUGAUGAAGAGUUAUAGGCUCAUGACAUCUCAAUGUCAAUAUCAAAUCUGGGUCUCACCUCUUGUAUAUAAUGGAAACAUUUCAAUAAACAAGUAAACAUGUUUACUUC